rnacentral:rRNA from 1 species
CGCGUGAGAAUCUGUCAUUUGGUUUGGGACAACAUUGGGAAACCGAUGCUAAUACCGGAUGUGCCGAGAGGUGAAAGAGAAAUUGCCAGAUGGUGAGCUCGCGUCAGAUUAGCUAGUUGGUGGGGUAAAGGCCUACCAAGGCGACGAUCUGUAGCUGGUCUGAGAGGACGAUCAGCCACACUGGAACUGAGACACGGUCCAGACUCCUACGGGAGGCAGCAGUGGGGAAUUUUCCGCAAUGGGCGAAAGCCUGACGGAGCAAUACCGCGUGAGGGAGGAAGGCUCUUGGGUCGUAAACCUCUUUUCUCUAGGAAGAUAAUGACGGUACUAGAGGAAUAAGCAUCGGCUAACUCCGUGCCAGCAGCCGCGGUAAUACGGAGGAUGCAAGCGUUAUCCGGAAUGAUUGGGCGUAAAGCGUCCGCAGGUGGUUAUGUAAGUCUGCGGUUAAAGAGUGGGGCUUAACUCCAUAAGGGCCGUGGAAACUACAAGACUAGAGUAGGUUAGGGGCAGAGGGAAUUCCCAGUGUAGCGGUGAAAUGCGUAGAGAUUGGGAAGAACACCGGUGGCGAAAGCGCUCUGCUAGGACAAUACUGACACUGAGGGACGAAAGCUAGGGGAGCGAAUGGGAUUAG